UCUGGCGGCCGUAGCGCGGUGGUCCCACCUGACCCCAUGCCGAACUCAGAAGUGAAACGCCGUAGCGCCGAUGGUAGUGUGGGGUCUCCCCAUGCGAGAGUAGGGAACUGCCAG
rnacentral:rRNA from 2 species